AGUGGCGGACGGGUGAGUAAUGCAUCGGGACCUACCCAGACGUGGGGGAUAACGUAGGGAAACUUACGCUAAUACCGCAUACGUCCUACGGGAGAAAGCGGGGGAUCGCAAGGCCUCGCGCGGUUGGAUGGACCGAUGUGCGAUUAGCUAGUUGGUGAGGUAACGGCUCACCAAGGCGACGAUCGCUAGCUGGUCUGAGAGGAUGAUCAGCCACACUGGGACUGAGACACGGCCCAGACUCC
rnacentral:rRNA from 1 species